rnacentral:tRNA from 1 species
GCUGAGGUACCAAAGUGGCCAAAUGGAUUUGUCUGUAGAACAAAUGGCGUAAGCCUUCGGGGGUUCGAAUCCCUCCCUCAGCA